rnacentral:rRNA from 1 species
CCAGACUCCUACGGGAGGCAGCAGUGGGGAAUAUUGCACAAUGGGGGAAACCCUGAUGCAGCGACGCCGCGUGAAGGACGAAGUAUUUCGGUACGUAAACUUCUAUCAGCAGGGAAGAAAAUGACGGUACCUGACCAAGAAGCCCCGGCUAACUACGUGCCAGCAGCCGCGGUAAUACGUAGGGGGCAAGCGUUAUCCGGAUUUACUGGGUGUAAAGGGAGCGUAGACGGCCAUGCAAGUCUGAUGUGAAAACCCGGGGCUCAACCCCGGGACUGCAUUGGAAACUGUGCGGCUGGAGUGUCGGAGAGGCAAGUGGAAUUCCUAGUGUAGCGGUGAAAUGCGUAGAUAUUAGGAGGAACACCAGUGGCGAAGGCGGCUUGCUGGACGACGACUGACGUUGAGGCUCGAAAGCGUGGGGAGCAAACAGGAUUAGAUACCCCCGUACC